AAGCAGAUAGCACUCGCAUAUGACAACAGCAAAUAACUAACGUUUACGUUAGCCUAACUUACUUAUCGUUGACGUUGACCCAACACGUUCAUAAGUUAGAC